rnacentral:rRNA from 1 species
AGUGAACGCUGGCGGUAGGCCUAACACAUGCAAGUCGAACGGCAGCACAGUAAUAGCUUGCUCUUACGGGUGGCGAGUGGCGGACGGGUGAGGAAUACAUCGGAAUCUACUUUUUCGUGGGGGAUAACGUAGGGAAACUUACGCUAAUACCGCAUACGACCUACGGGUGAAAGCAGGGGAUCUUCGGACCUUGCGCGAUUGAAUGAGCCGAUGUCGGAUUAGCUAGUUGGCGGGGUAAAGGCCCACCAAGGCGACGAUCCGUAGCUGGUCUGAGAGGAUGAUAGGCCACACUGGAACUGAGACACGGUCCAGACUCAUACGGGAGGCAGCAGUGGGGAAUAUUGGACAAUGGGCGCAAGCCUGGUCCAGCCAUACCGCGUGGGUGAAGAAGGCCUUCGGGUUGUAAAGCCCUUUUGUUGGGAAAGAAAAGCAGCAGGUUAAUACCCCGCUGUUCUGACGGUACCCAAAGAAUAAGCACCGGCUAACUUCGU